rnacentral:rRNA from 1 species
CUACCGGGGUAUCUAAUCCUGUUUGCUCCCCACGCUUUCGCACCUCAGCGUCAAUACCAGUCCAGUGAGCCGCCUUCGCCACUGGUGUUCUUCCGAAUAUCUACGAAUUUCACCUCUACACUCGGAAUUCCACUCACCUCUCCUGGAUUCAAGCGAUGCAGUCUUAAAGGCAAUUCCAGAGUUGAGCUCUGGGCUUUCACCUCUAACUUACAAAGCCGCCUACGUGCGCUUUACGCCCAGUAAUUCCGAAUAACGCUAGCUCCCCUCGUAUUACCGCGGCUGCUGGCAC